UGCAUACUUUUCAAGUUAUGAAUAAUGUGGAAAAUUUGUAUUUCUCUGCUGGUGCUAAAUUACAUUACCCAUUGUGUGAGGUAAUUGAAUCACCGGCAGAGGGGAGGAAUUUGUGUGGGAGUGUCUGAGUGUAUUGUAUGUGUUUAUUGGUUGUGUUCCAAGUACAUGUGUUCGGGCAUAUCAUUAAGGAGACAAGUCCCAUCAGGUUAGAG